GAACUUUUCAACAUGUUUCACGCAUCAUGAAUGCCAUGUGAUGAAUUAGGGUGCUUGCAUUAGAAUUCACGAAUAUGUUGCAUUGCAUAUUUUUAUGUUGAUGUGGAUGAAUGUUGGAUGAUCCAUAGCCCUCGAUCUAUGAUAUGACGAUGUGAUAUGUACGGUAUGGAAUGUAAGACCAGUGGGACCCAUUCUACGUUCGCUGGCACUAUGUAAGGGAAAGACCAG
rnacentral:lncRNA from 1 species